rnacentral:rRNA from 1 species
CCUACGGGAGGCAGCAGUGAGGAAUAUUGGUCAAUGGACGAGAGUCUGAACCAGCCAAGUCGCGUGAAGGAUGACUGCCCUAUGGGUUGUAAACCUCUUUUAUAUGGGAAUAAAAUGUUCCACGUGUGGGAUUUUGUAUGUACCAUAUGAAUAAGGAUCGGCUAACUCCGUGCCAGCAGCCGCGGUAAUACGGAGGAUCCGAGCGUUAUCCGGAUUUAUUGGGUUUAAAGGGUGCGUAGGUGGAUUGUUAAGUCAGUUGUGAAAGUUUGCGGCUCAACCGUAAAAUUGCAGUUGAAACUGGCAGUCUUGAGUACGGGAGAGGUGGGCGGAAUGCGUGGUGUAGCGGUGAAAUGCUUAGAUAUCACGAAGAACUCCGAUUGCGAAGGCAGUUCACUGGACUGCAACUGACACUGAGGCUCGAAAGUGUGGGUAUCAAACAGGAUUAGAUACCCCUGUAGUC